AAUGUCUAAGUAUCAUUAAGUGAAUACAUAGCUUAAUGAGGGGAACUCAGGGAACUGAAACAUCUAAGUACCUGAAGGAAGAGAAAGAAAUUCGAUUCCGUAAGUAGCGGCGAGCGAACGCGGAUUAGCCCAAACCAAUAAAGUUUUCUUUAUUGGGGUUGCGGACAUAUCAUAACGAAGAGGUAUCGUAAUUGAAGAGGUUUGGAAAGACUCACCACAGAAGGUAAUAGUCCUGUAUGUUAAACGAGAAGACUUCAGAUAUGAUCCAGAGUACCACGGGACACGUGAAACCCUGUGGGAAGCAGGAGGGACC
rnacentral:rRNA from 1 species